UACAGAGGGGGCAAGCGUUGUUCGGAAUUACUGGGCGUAAAGGGCGCGUAGGCGGCCUGUUAAGUCGAACGUGAAAUCCCCGGGCUCAACCCGGGAACUGCGUCCGAUACUGGCAGGCUUGAAUUCGGGAGAGGGAUGCGGAAUUCCAGGUGUAGCGGUGAAAUGCGUAGAUAUCUGGAGGAACACCGGUGGCGAAGGCAGCUCACUAGACUAACAUUGACGCUCAUGCACGAAAGCGUGGGGAGCGAACAGG
rnacentral:rRNA from 1 species